GGAAACCGGAGCUAAUACCGGAUAAUAUUUUGAACCGCAUGGUUCAAAAGUAAAAGACGGUCUUGCUGUCACUUAUAGAUGGAUCCGCGCUGCAUUAGCUAGUUGGUAAGGUAACGGCUUACCAAGGCAACGAUGCAUAGCCGACCUGAGAGGGUGAUCGGCCACACUGGAACUGAGACACGGUCCAGACUCCUACGGGAGGCAGCAGUAGGGAAUCUUCCGCAAUGGGCGAAAGCCUGACGGAGCAACGCCGCGUGAGUGAUGAAGGUCUUCGGAUCGUAAAACUCUGUUAUUAGGGAAGAACAUAUGUGUAAGUAACUGUGCACAUCUUGACGGUACCUAAUCAGAAAGCCACGGCUAACUACGUGCCAGCAGCCGCGGUAAUACGUAGGUGGCAAGCGUUAUCCGGAAUUAUUGGGCGUAAAGCGCGCGUAGGCGGUUUUUUAAGUCUGAUGUGAAAGCCCACGGCUCAACCGUGGAGGGUCAUUGGAAACUGGAAAACUUGAGUGCAGAAGAGGAAAGUGGAAUUCCAUGUGUAGCGGUGAAAUGCGCAGAGAUAUGGAGGAACACCAGUGGCGAAGGCGACUUUCUGGUCUGUAA
rnacentral:rRNA from 1 species